ACGAGGUGUGUGAAGAUGUUUGAGGAGAGGUGUGAGACAAGAUGUGUGAAGAUGUUUGAGGAGAGGUGUGAGACAAGGUGUGUGAAGAUGUUUGAGGAGAGGUGUGAGACGAGGUGUGUGAAGAUGUUUGGGGAGAGGUGUGAGACGAGGUCUCCACAGAACCUGAACUCUGUGUUCAUGAAGAAUCAGGACUGAGCUCUGAUUAUUGAUUAUAAAUUUUGUAUCAGCUGAACUUUGUUAACGAUCAAACUCACCUGCUGCUGAUUAAAGAACGUCGGCCAUCUUUAAUCUGAAGCUCGAUGAGGUCACGAGGCGCCUGAGGUCAUGUGACCUUUGAUUUGAAUCAUUGAAACUUUGUCACAGAUUAAACCUGAAACUGAAAAAUAAACAUUGUAAUUGAUCUUAAAA